AGAAUAAAUCAGAUGAGAGACUUUACUCUGUAUAAAUAAAAAAUAGUGGAGGCUGUCCGAGGCCCCUCUCAAUACAUAAUGGUUUAGUCCACCCCUGAAGCUGCAGGUGCGCCAGGAUGCGUCUCCAAACAGCGGAGAGGCUGCGGCUCAUCAAGAAAGCAAAAUCAGGGAGCCUUAAACGCAAGGAAAAGGCAGAGAGGGAAAGAAAGCAAGGAGAGGGAAGAAAACUCCUCACACAUCUCUUUUGAAAGAAAGAUCCAAAGCCACCACCUGUGAAUCUACAGUUGUGGAGAUAAAUUAGACCUGCAUGCGGGACUACAAGGAAGACAGUGAGCAGUAACCAACGAAUACCAUGGCUCAGACGUUGGCCUGUGACUUCAAAUUGCCCCGAGCCUGUCAUCCUUUGGGCCAAACUUCCAUGGGCUCUGUGGUGCGCAGGUUCCGAGUCACGCGGGAGGGCUUGGCCCCCGUUCAUAACUGCUUACAUUUGAAAUACUACAGAUUUGUCUAUCAAUAGAAGAAUAAUUAUAUGAUUAAAGUUCCUUUUAGUCAGUACACACUUUUGUAUGACCGGGGGAUUCUGAAGGUAUUUUAUAUCAACAAUAGGUUAUAUUCAAAUAUGUAAUAUUUGUUCACAUAGUGAAAAACCCAGCUCAGUGGUCUAAUGUGGAUGUUGGACACAAACAUGACUCUUAAUGAAUGAUAAAGUUGCUCUAUGUCUGUUGGAUGUGUAAAAAAGCAAUGUUUGCCAACAUAUUGUCCACAACCACUUAAUUUGGUGAUAAGAUGUCAGAUGUGUUUACAACUUGUUCUGUAGCCCCCUUCUGUAGUGGACAAAAAAAGCAUUACUGGAGAUUAAACCCACUGUGAUGUUGAAACUUACUUGAUAGCAUGUCAGAUAACAACAUCUAUCUUCUGGGAGAGGCCGAAAUAUAGCAAUAUUUGUUUUUAUUUGUUGCACCCUUAACACUACA